UUUGCGACUGAUCGGGCUCGGCCCGAUCCUCCCACCCUUUGUGUACCUACCUCUGUUGCUUUGGCGGGCCGCGGUCCUCCGCGGCCGCCCCCCUCCCCGGGGGGGUGGCCAGCGCCCGCCAGAGGACCAUCAAACUCCAGUCAGUAAACGAUGCAGUCUGAAAAACAUUUAAUAAACUAAAACUUUCAACAACGGAUCUCUUGGUUCUGGCAUCGAUGAAGAACGCAGCGAAAUGCGAUAAGUAAUGUGAAUUGCAGAAUUCAGUGAAUCAUCGAAUCUUUGAACGCACAUUGCGCCCUUUGGUAUUCCGAAGGGCAUGCCUGUUCGAGCGUCAUUACAACCCUCAAGCUCUGCUUGGUAUUGGGCACCGUCCUUUGCGGGCGCGCCUCAAAGACCUCGGCGGUGGCGUCUUGCCUCAAGCGUAGUAGAACAUACAUCUCGCUUCGGAGCGCAGGGCGUCGCCCGCCGGACGAACCUUCUGAACUUUUCUCAAGGUUGACCUCGGAUCAGGUAGGGAUACCCGCUGAACUUAAGCAUAUCAUAAGCCCGGAGGAA
rnacentral:rRNA from 1 species